UGGGGAAUAUUGCGCAAUGGGCGAAAGCCUGACGCAGCGACGCCGCGUGAGGGAUGAAGGUCUUUGGAUCGUAAACCUCUGUCAAGGGGGAAGAAAGGCACGGGUGUGAAUAAUACCUGUGAUUGACGGUACCCCUAAAGGAAGCACCGGCUAACUCCGUGCCAGCAGCCGCGGUAAUACGGAGGGUGCGAGCGUUAUCCGGAUUUAUUGGGUUUAAAGGGUGCGUAGGCUGUUAUGUAAGUCAGCGGUGAAAUACCUAAGCUCAACUUAGGGGCUGCCGUUGAUACUGCAUAGCUGGAAUAUGGUUGCUGUUGGCGGAAUGUGUAGUGUAGCGGUGAAAUGCAUAGAUAUUAGGAGGAACACCAGUGGCGAAGGCGGCCUGCUGGGCUUUUACUGACGCUGAGGCUCGAAAGUGUGGGUAUCAAACA
rnacentral:rRNA from 1 species